AGCAACCCGUUUGGUUAUCUUUCUGUGCUGUGGAAGGUUUGUUCUUUCACUCUGCACUAUUUUGCAAUAAAUAUUGCUAUUGCUCACUUUGGGUUUAUAUUGCCUUUAUGAGCUGUAACACUCACCAUGAAGGUCUGCAGCUUUACUCUUGAAGCUUAGCGAGACCACUAACCCACCAGAAGGAAGAAACUCCGGACACGCCGCCUUUAAGAACUGUAAUACUCAGUGCGAGGGUUCACGGCUUCAUUCUUGAGAAAGACAACGAGGAGGGAGCAGCUAGAGGGGUGGAAAUGGGAUCACGUGACCUUGCGAGAAGCAGGGAGAGAGAACACUGCGUCUGCUCCCUUUUAGAACAGACCACGUUCUAGAAUUGUAGAAUCCUGGCAAGAAAAAGGCAGCUCGUCCAGCCUUCUGUCCAGUGGAACAGCCCCAGCCAGAGCAACUGACAGAUGCUCAAUAUAGGGAAUCCCUAACAGAGGACUUCCAGGAUAUCCUAGGGACAGCAGAGCCUCAAGAUCCAGGGAGGAUCCUGGAUACCUGAGUCACCACUUGGAGGGGAAUCUCCUGGAAGAACUGAUUGAUCAGCAACAUCUACAUUCAACUUGAGGUUGUUCCGUAAGACAGGAUGGCACAGAGCUUUAAGCAACAGCUCUGGCAUCUGACUUCCGUGUUUGCAUCUGGCUUUGAGUGUGACUUUGGACAAGUUCCUUAGCUGGCCAGAUACUCUUGUCCUCAUCCAUAAGAUGGAGCAACAACGAAGCCUUUCUCAUAGGUUAUUGUGAGGAUUGAAUGAAUUAGUAUAUGCCAAGCAUUUGAAGCAGUGCCUGACAUGUAGUAGAUGCUGAGUAACACUGGGGAUCUGCCUUUUCUUUUUCCUCUAUGUGACUGGCAGCCUUAGCCAGACCACAUCAGCUGAGAUGAUUUUCUCUGUAAGUUACCAGGAUCACCUAGAUCUGGCCAAGGACUUGCCCCUGUAAGGAAAUUUGGAAUAAGCAAAAAAGAUCACUAGGUGUCGCCGAUGGAAAACUAGGUUGUUUUGAGCAUACCUUUGCAUGUUAUCUGAUUUUAGCCUUUCAGGGUCUUUGAGCUAUUUUAUGGCUCUGUAGGUUGUACAUAACUGAUAGCAAUGCAAAAUAAUUCUUGUCUAUAGACAUGCAAAUAAAUCCUGUCCAGCGGUUCAAUUGACUACCCUCUUCCCUAAGGAAAAAGCCAGUUUCAGUCUAUUUGUAAAUUCAUUUCCACUUUCCUUACUCCCUAUAAAUUUCUGCUUUUCAGAUUUCUCCUUUGUUAACGUCUGCCUGGUUCCCUCAUUAAGUCAAAUAAAAUCUUUAACACGUUAAA
rnacentral:lncRNA from 1 species